AGUAGCCACGGUAAUACAGAGGGUGCGAGCGUUAAUCGGAUUUACUGGGCGUAAAGCGUGCGUAGGCGGCUUCUUAAGUCGGAUGUGAAAUCCCUGAGCUUAACUUAGGAAUUGCAUUCGAUACUGGGAAGCUAGAGUAUGGGAGAGGAUGGUAGAAUUCCAGGUGUAGCGGUGAAAUGCGUAGAGAUCUGGAGGAAUACCGAUGGCGAAGGCAGCCAUCUGGCCUAAUACUGACGCUGAGGUACGAAAGCAUGGGGAGCAAACAGGAUUAGAUACCCGUGUAGUCCCUGUCUCUUAUACA
rnacentral:rRNA from 1 species